rnacentral:rRNA from 1 species
CCCUUAGAUGUUCUGGGCGGCCCGCGCACUACAAUGGCGCUUUCAGCGAGUUCCUAUGUUGAAUUUUCCUGGGUAUUCUUGGAAGCGGCGUCUUGACUUGGGAUAGAUCCUUGUAAUUGUUGGCUUUGAACGAGGAAUUCCUUGUAAUCGCGGUUGAUCAGCUCGCGUUGAAUACGUCCCUGCCCUUUGUACACACCGCCCGUCGCUCCUACCGAUGAAUCGUCCGGUGAAGUUCACAGAGUGGCGGUUCGUGGAGUUGCUCGCGAAGUGAAAUGGACCUCACGAUUUAGAGGAAGGAGAAGUCGUAACA